rnacentral:ncRNA from 1 species
GCCUAAAAAGUAAUGGAGGCGUUCAUCAAGGUCGGCUAGUUCCGGAUGGACAUCGGAACGAUAGCGUAAAGGCAAAAGCCGGCUUAACUGCAAGGCGGAUGUGCCGCGCAGAUGCGAAAGCAGGACUUAGUGAACCGACUCUAA